rnacentral:rRNA from 1 species
CCUACGGGUGACAGCAGUGAGGAAUAUUGGUCAAUGGACGAGAGUCUGAACCAGCCAAGUAGCGUGAAGGAUGACUGCCCUAUGGGUUGUAAACUUCUUUUAUAUGGGAAUAAACUGUUCCACGUGUGGGCUUUUGUAUGUACCAUAUGAAUAAGGAUCGGCUAACUCCGUGCCAGCAGCCGCGGUAAUACGGAGGAUCCGAGCGUUAUCCGGAUUUAUUGGGUUUAAAGGGAGCGUAGGUGGAUUGUUAAGUCAGUUGUGAAAGUUUGCGGCUCAACCGUAAAAUUGCAGUUGAAACUGGCAGUCUUGAGUACAGUAGAGGUGGGCGGAAUUCGUGGUGUAGCGGUGAAAUGCUUAGAUAUCACGAAGAACUCCGAUUGCGAAGGCAGCUCACUGGACUGCAACUGACACUGAGGCUCGAAAGUGUGGGUAUCAAACAGGAUGAGAUACCCGUGUAGUC